GCUCAAGAAACCUCUCCCAGCAUUCCUCAGUAGCCAGCCCCCCCAAACCUCAUUGGCUAGGAUAGGGUCACAUGUCCUCUGUAAGCCAGUCAUUGGCAAGGAGAACCACUGGCUUAGCCAAUCAGAGUUUACCUCUGAGGCAUACGCGGUUGCAACCCGUGCUGCCUCACCUGAGCAGGGCAGGGCAGGGCAGAGCAGAGGUGUGAGCGAAUGGCCCUUCGACAUGCCACUGAGGGAGCGAACUGGUCAGCCUAGAGCUGCCCUUCCUGGGGAGGCUCACCUGCUUUCCUUACUGUUUAAUCCAGCUGGAUCAGGUUUCUGUUACUUGCAGCUGAAAGUGUCCUAGCUGAUAAUGGGCAGGGUGCAGAGGACCCGAUUCUGUAAUGAUGAGGGGGGUUCACGGGUCUAGGUGUCUGAUGUCAAAAGAGGGGUGGCAGGAGUUCCCAUCAUGGCUCAGUGGUUAAGGAAUCCGACUAGGAACCAUGAGGCUGUGGGUUCAAUCCCUGGCCUUGCUCAGUGGGUUAAGGAUCCGGUGUUGCCGUGACCUGUGGUGUAGGUUGCAGACGCGGCUCGAAUCCCGUGUUGCUGUGGCUCUGGUGUAGGCUGGCGGCGACAGCUCCAAUUAGAUCCCUAGCCUGGGAACCUCCAUAUGCCAAGGAGAGACACAGGAGGGCAACAGGGACCCCCGGGGGUCGUCAUCGCCGUGGAGGGAAGCUUGGAAACAGUCAGUCCUGUUCGUGGGCUCCAGGCAAAGGUCACUGAGAGGAGUGACAGGAUGCUCGGAUCCAUUUUGGGAAGAGAACUCCAGGCAGAGUGUGGACCAAGGCAGCCAUGGGCAGGUGGCCAGUGGUUGUGACCACCAGGCCUGAGGACAGUGAUGCUGAGGGUCUGAGCAGAGGCCAGGCCUCCAGCUGGCAGGUGGGAGGUUAGGAUUGACCUGUGGUGGGCUUAGGCUCUGUCACUGGCAGGAUUUGGUGACCAACUGGCCAUUGGGUGAAGGAGAAGGCAUGUGGAUGCUGAGGCUCCAAGGGCUCUGGCCCCGGCGCCCGGGGCAAGAGAUACGGGGAGGGGGUGGGGGGAAGGGCUGUGACCAGCUCGGUCGUGUGCAGUCUGAGGCUCCUGGCCCACAUCCCAGGGAGACUCAAGGGGAGCUGUGGGCAUGGGGGGAGGGGUAGAGCUUGGGGCCUGGAGCCUUUGAGGCGAGGACAAGGGACCCAAAGGGAAGGACAUCCACCCACAAGGCCCUCGCCAGUCCUUCCUUCUCAGCAGGAAGCAGCAUGGUGGCCAGAGGCCUGGCGAGUCCUCGGGGCCCUGAGCCUCCCUUGGGGUCCAGGAGCCCGAGCAGCUUAAGGAGGGAGGAGCGAAUCAGGGGAGCAGAACUGAGGCCUCAGUGAGGCCUGCAGCCAGUGGACAGGCAUUGCUUCGUUUGGGGUAGUUACAAGAACCCAAACUCCGCCUCUCCCCCAGGGCACCGAAACGUCCCGAUUUGGGGAGGGGGUUACCCAGAAAAGAGUGAGGAGAGGGCAGCUCACUGAGAGGGGGACCCCCACAGGCAGCCUCCUGGGUUCUGGCAGCUGGCCCACCCCGCCUCAGUUUCCCCGUCAUCAGUUGUCAUUGUCGGAACUGGUCCCGCCCACAGUUGCACCCAGGGAGCAGCCCUCACCCUUGAACUUGAAACCCCAGAUGGGAAAAUGGGCCUCUAACACUUUCAAGCCCCCACUGCCUACUCAGUCCUGCCUCAAGUCCAUGGCCCUCCAAACCCAGCCUCCCCCGCCCCGCCGGCUUCCCGCAGAGAGAUAUAAGGAUUUAAUAGCUGAGGGCUCUAAUGAGAGCUUAGAUUAUUAAGAUCUCACAUUUCUCUUUGAAAAUACCUCAUGAAGUAUUCUCUUAAAUAAUUAAAACUAAAAUCCACCUAGCGAAAUAAAUGAAAAGGCAUGUUUGGCUCUGGGGUGUCCCCGAGUGACUUUCCAGGCCAUCAGCCCCCUUCUGUGUGCUGUGUCACCAGAGGAAUUGGCUUAAAGUCCUGGGCUUUCUAAAUCCACUCUCUCCUUCUCUCAGGCCAGUGGUGUUGAUGAUGACGCCGGCCAAGCUACUGACCUUCCCAAUAUACCAGUGUCCUAAAGAUACACAGACAGGCCCAGAAAAAUCAUGCUGACGUCCGGUGUUGACACCAAUUGGCCAAUCCUAAAAUAAGGAUUUAUAUAUAUUCUCAGAAUGCAAUUUUAUCUGUACUCAGGAUGCGGAAUUCAGCCUCUCUGUGUGGCGAUGAGCUCAUCAUUUCUGAGAGCCAGAGCUCGGAGGACCCAGACCCAAACGCCCGGGGCUGGUGGUGCCCUGCUGAGUCCUGUUCUGGUAAAUCAGGGGCUGCCGCUUCUGUGCACAGCCUGCGGGCCUGGGACCUCCGAGCACCCCAAGGCCACUCAAUUCAGUCCUUCAGAAACCACCGCCCACGUGUCACUCUGCUCCAGAACACACAGAGCAGGUCCAACACCUGAGUGAUAAUUAAAGAAGGCCGGGGGCUGUGUCUGCCACCGGGGGGCACGUGUGAGUGUGAAUAAAACGUGGUCCCUACCCUCAAAGGGCUUCACUUUAGUGGGGAAAUAGCCAGUGUCCACACAGUGUGGUCAGCACAGGUGUGGACCCAGGGCUUGGGGAUUGGAGUUGCCGCUGCAGGGUCUCCCUGGUGGAGGAGAUGCCUGGGUGGGGUCAGGUGGCACAGGCUGUUCAGGCAGAGGGCACAGCAGAGGGAAAGGCUGGCAGGGCCCUGGGCCAGGUCAGGGAGCAAAAGUGCGGAAGGCCAAGGAGGCUGGGGUUUAUCCUGCGGGCCCAGAGGAGCCACAGAUGGGGAGGGACCUGGUCAGGUGGAUGUGGACGUGCAUCCUGCGGAGAUUCCUGGGUGGCCAGAAUGGAGGGUGGACUGGUGGGAAGGCGGUAGGUUCUGGGGCGCACUCUGCAGGCCUGAGCUGGGGAAGCAGCAUGUGACACCCCGAGAAGGCUCUGGUUUGGGGAGGUGGUAGAGGCGGAAUCACUGGGCAGUGGGCUGGGAGCUGGUGGGGGGGGUGGAGUGGGGAGUGAGCCAGGUGAUGCUCAGGAUGGGGCCUGGGUGGCUGGGUGGCUGGUGGGGCCCCCCGCUGAGAUGGGCGCAGUCAAGGACUGGGAGAAGGGUCACCUGCGGGACAGGUGGUGGAAAAGAGGAGAAAGUGAGUUUCCAGGCCAGCGUGUCGAGUCAUUCAGUCAUUUCCCGCCAGGGCCUUUGGGGGUCAGGCCAGCAGCACACGUGCCCCUAACCCAGGGGACUUAACUAAGCUACCCCGCGACCGGAUGUAAAACCACCCAUGGACAGAGAGAGAGCCCCCAGGAAGGUCCGGGGCCCCAAAAGGCUUUUCGGAGGUGAGCGGUAGCUGAGCCUAGAGGAGGGGGCAUCCUGAGAACCCCACAGGGGACAGGGCCCGGGGACUGGGGCUGGAGUCUGGAGGUUCUGUGAGGGUAACGGGGGACCCAGAAGGAGUCCCGCCAGGACUCUGACAUGACCCAAAUCACACUGUGAGGAGUUCCUGUUGUGGCGCAACAGAAACAAGCCUGACUAGUAUCCGUAAAGACAUGGUUCGAUCCCUGGCCUUGCUCUGUGGGUUAAGGAUCCGGUGUUGCCAUGAGCUGUGGUGUAGAUCACAUGCGUGGCUCAGAUCCCGCGUUGCUGUGGCUGUGGUGUAGGCUGGCGGCUGUAGCUCCAAUUCAACCCUUAGCCUGGGAACCUCCAGAUGCCACAGGUGCGGCCCUAAAAAAAAAAAUAAAUACAUAGAUAAGUAAAUAAACACCUGCAUUAGCUGCUUCGGAGGAAGAGCAGGGUGAGGACGGCAAAGUGCUGCCCAGGGCAGCCCCGUGAGGCAGCACAGGCUGUGCCCACACCAAGUCCGGGGUCUAAGAAGAUGCCUUUUCACUGCGACAUCCUAGACCCGCUCCAGGACACGGCCGCGGUCUAGCAGUUCGGUGUGUUGGAUCCCUUUCCAUUAGAUGGAGCGGGGUCUUUCUCACAGGGGCCUGGGGCCACGAGGGCUGCACUCCCAGGUGGGAUGUCCCAGAAGACGGCGCACAAGACCGGUUUUCUGGACUGCAGGGCCCGGAACCGCCCCGGCCUCAGGCAGCAGGCGGCGCGCCCUGAGCCCCGGUUAAGUCAGGAGGCAGGGCCGGGGUGGAGCGGGCAGCCUCAGGGCAGGACUAGGAGGCGGGGAGGAAGAGGCAGAGCCCGGACAGGGGCAGACGGGGGCUGGGGAGGACCUCUGGGGGGCAGAGGCAGAGAGGAGGCCUGGGCCCUGGUUGGCACGGAGGGCAGGGAGCAGACGGCUCUGCCCAGAGCGAGGGGCCCGAGGGGGGGAUCUGUCUGGGUGUGGGGAUCGGGUAUCCGCUCCAGAGGGUCCCCGGGGGGCCUUGGGGUCCACUCGUGACCUCAGACCCUCGGCCGUGGACGGCCCUCGGCCCCAGGGAGCAGCUCAGGGCCCACCAGGCACCGGGUUAUUGGGACACCCCGGCCGAGGCAGGCGGGCCGGUUUUUCCGGGAAAUAAUCUAGAGGCCUUUGCCGUGAGGACAGACACGCCUUGUUUGGUUGCACUUUGCAAAUACUGCGUUUUUCCCAAAUGGAAGAUUUUGUGGUGACCCUGCCUCCGGCGUGUCUGUCCGCGCCAUUUCUCCAGCAGCAUCUGUUCGCUUGUGUCCCUGGGUCGCAUUUUGCUAAUUCU
rnacentral:lncRNA from 1 species